rnacentral:rRNA from 1 species
GACGAACGCUGGCGGCGUGCCUAAUGCAUGCAAGUCGCACGGGUCUCCUUCGGGAGGUCAGUGGCGAACGGCUGAGGAACACGUGGGGACCUAUCCGUCAGUGGGGGACAACACCGCGAAAGCGGUGCUAAUCCCGCAUACUCUCUGCGGAGGAAAGCGUGGCAACACGCGCUGAAGACUGGCCCUGCGGCCCCUCAGGUAGUUGGCGGGGUAACGGCCCACCAAGCCCGUGACGGGUCGCUGGUCUGUGAGGACGGCCCGCCCGCCUGGGACUGGGAUACGGCCCAGACUCUUACGGGAGGCAGCAGCAAGGACUUUUCGGCACUGGGCGCAAGCCUGACCGAGCAACGCCGCGUGCGGGAUGACGGCCUUCGGGUUGUAAACCGCUUUUGGGGGGGAAGAAACAGACGGUACCCCCCGAAUCAGCCCCGGCUAACUCUGUG